rnacentral:tRNA from 1 species
GCCUAGUUAGCUUGGAAGGUAGCACCCUGCCUUGUGAGCACUAGGUCGCGGGUUCGAAUCCCGCCCGAGGCA